AUCGCUUCUCGGCCUUUUGGCUAAGAUCAAGUGUAGACAUUAACAUGAUGAAAUACAUAUGUAUGUAUUGGCUUGAAGAAAUAUUCACUACGUGAUAUAUAAAAAUAGUUUGCAAAAUAGCAUUGGAUUUGUAGUAACAUA
rnacentral:snRNA from 1 species